rnacentral:rRNA from 1 species
AUACGGAGGAUCCGAGCGUUAUCCGGAUUUAUUGGGUUUAAAGGGUGCGCAGGCGGGAGAUUAAGUCGGCGGUGAAAUUUUGCAGCUCAACUGUAAAAGUGCCUUCGAAACUGGUUUCCUUGAGUGUAGAUGAAGUAGGCGGAAUUUGUGGUGUAGCGGUGAAAUGCAUAGAUAUCACGAGGAACUCCGAUUGCGCAGGCAGCUUACUAAACUACUACUGACGCUCAGGCACGAAGGCGUGGGGAUCAAACAGGAUUAGAUACCCAGGUAGUCCACGCAGUAAACGAUGAUUACUAGCUGUUUGCGAUACAAUGUAAGCGGCUGAGCGAAAGCGUUAAGUAAUCCGCCUGGGGAGUACGUUCGCAAGAAUGAAACUCAAAUGAAUUGACGGGG